rnacentral:rRNA from 1 species
GAAGUAUGACGGGGACUGAAAGAAAGUAAGGAAGUCAUCGAAUCCACACUGCCGAGAAAAGCCGCUAUAGCGUUAUUCAUACCCGUACCGUAAACCGACACAGGUAGAUGAGGAGAAAAUCCACAGGCCGACGGGAGAAGUGUUGUUAAGGAACUCGGCAAAAUGACCCCGUAACUUAGGGAGAAGGGGAGCCACGAGAGUGGUCACAGAAAAGAGGCUCAAGCAACUGUUUAGCAAAAACACAGGUCUCUGCGAAACCGAAAGGUGAAGUAUAGGGGCUGACACCUGCCCGGUGCUGGAAGGUUAAAAGGAGAGGUUAGCGCAAGCGAAGCUUUGAAUUCAAGCCCCAGUAAACGGCGGCCGUAACUAUAACGGUCCUAAGGUAGCGAAAUUCCUUGUCAGGUAAGUUCUGACCCGCACGAAAGGCGUAAUGAUUUGUGCACUGUCUCGACAACACGCCCGGUGAAAUUGAAGAACCAGUGAAGAUACUGGUUACCCGCAACAGGACGGAAAGACCCCAUGGAGCUUUACUGCAGCCUGAUACUGGGAUUCGAUGAUAUAUGUACAGGAUAGGAGGGAGACGAAGAAGGUAGGACGCCAGUCUUGCCGGAGUCGCCGGUGGGAUACCUCUCUUAUAUCAUUGGAUUUCUAACCUGCAUCCGUGAACCGGAUGAGGGACAAUGUCAGGCGGGCAGUUUGACUGGGGCGGUCGCCUCCAAAAGAGUAACGGAGGCGCUCGAAGGUCUUCUCAGAAUGAUUGGAAACCAUUCAAAGAGUGUAAAGGCAAAAGAAGGCUUGACUGCGAGGUCGACGGACCGAGCAGGUACGAAAGUAGGACUUAGUGAUCCGGUGGUAAUAAGUGGGAAUGCCAUCGCUCAACGGAUAAAAGCUACCCUGGGGAUAACAGGCUGAUCUCCCCCAAGAGUUCACAUCGACGGGGAGGUUUGGCACCUCGAUGUCGGCUCAUCGCAUCCUGGGGCUGAAGUAGGUCCCAAGGGUUGGGCUGUUCGCCCAUUAAAGCGGUACGCGAGCUGGGUUCAGAACGUCGUGAGACAGUUCGGUCCCUAUCCGUUGUGGGCGUAGGAAAUUUGAGAGGAGCUGUCCUUAGUACGAGAGGACCGGGAUGGACGAACCGCUGGUGUAUCUGUUGCAUACCAAAUGCACGGCAGAGUAGCUAAGUUCGGAACGGAUAAACGCUGAAGGCAUCUAAGCGUGAAGCCGCCCUCAAGAUGAGAUUUCCCAUUCGAAAGAAGUAAGACCCCUUGAAGACUACAAGGUAGAUAGGUCAGAGGUGUAAGUGCAGUAAUGUAUUAAGCUAACUGAUACUAAUAGGUCGAGGGCUUGACCGA